GCGGAUAUGGUGAAGUGGUUAACACAUCGGUUUGUGGUACCGACAUACGUGGGUUCGAUUCCCAUUAUCCGCC
rnacentral:tRNA from 1 species